AAACUUGAGAGUUUGAUCAUGGCUCAGAACGUACGCUGGCGGCACGCCUAACACAUGCAAGUCGAACGAAGUAGCAAUACUUAGUGGCAGACGGGUGAGUAACAUGUAGGUAUCUGCCCUUUGGCCUGGAAUAACACGAGGAAACUUGUGCUAAUACCGGAUAAGUCUUUACGGAGAAAGCUUUAUGCACCAUUGGAUGAGCCUGCACUUGAUUAGUUUGUUGGUGGGGUAAUGGCCUACCAAGACUGUGAUCAAUAGCUGAUUUGAGAGGAUGAUCAGCCACAUUGGGACUGAGACACGGCCCAAACUCCUACGGGAGGCAGCAGUGGGGAAUCUUGCACAAUGGAGGAAACUCUGAUGCAGCGAUGCCGCGUGAGUGAAGAAGGCCUUUGGGUUGUAAAGCUCUUUCGUCGGGGAAGAAAAUGACUGUACCCGAAUAAGAAGGUCCGGCUAACUUCGUGCCAGCAGCCGCGGUAAUACGAAGGGACCUAGCGUAGUUCGGAAUUACUGGGCUUAAAGAGUUCGUAGGUGGUUAAAAAAGUUAGUGGUGAAAUCCCAGAGCUUAACUCUGGAACUGCCAUUAAAACUUUUUAGCUAGAGUAUGAUAGAGGAAAGCAGAAUUUCUAGUGUAGAGGUGAAAUUCGUAGAUAUUAGAAAGAAUACCAAUUGCGAAGGCAGCUUUCUGGAUCAUUACUGACACUGAGGAACGAAAGCAUGGGUAGCGAAGAGGAUUAGAUACCCUCGUAGUCCAUGCCGUAAACGAUGUGUGUUAGACGUUGGAAAUUUAUUUUCAGUGUCGCAGGGAAACCGAUAAACACACCGCCUGGGGAGUACGACCGCAAGGUUAAAACUCAAAUGAAUUGACGGGGACCCGCACAAGUAGUGGAGCAUGUGGUUUAAUUCGAAGAUACGCGCAGAACCUUACCAACACUUGACAUGUUCGUCGCGACUCUAAGAGAUUAGAGUUUUCGGUUCGGCCGGACGAAACACAGGUGCUGCAUGGCUGUCGUCAGCUCGUGUCGUGAGAUGUUGGGUUAAGUCCCGCAACGAGCGCAACCCUCACUUUUAGUUGCCAUCAUUAAGUUGGGCACUCUGAAAGAACUGCCAGUGAUAAGCUGGAGGAAGGUGGGGAUGACGUCAAGUCCUCAUGGCCCUUACGUGUUGGGCUACACACGUGCUACAAUGGUAUCUACAACAGGAAGCAAGACUGCGAAGUUAAGCAAAUCCCUAAAAGAUACCUCAGUUCGGAUUGCACUCUGCAACUCGAGUGCAUGAAGCUGGAAUUACUAGUAAUCGUGGAUCAGCGUGCCACGGUGAAUGCGUUCCCGGGUCUUGUACACACCGCCCGUCACACCAUGGGAGUUGGUUCUACCUUAAGGCAAGGUUUUAAACCCUUGACCACGGUAUAGUCAGCGACUGGGGUGAAGUCGUAACAAGGUAGCCGUAGGGGAACCUGCGGCUGGAUUACCUCCUUU
rnacentral:rRNA from 1 species